GUGAGUGGUCAAUUCAAUUUAUUCUUUUGAUUGUUUAAUUUGUAUGCCUUUGUGAUGCCUUUUUGUUACAUGUCCUACAUUAUUUUAUUUAAUCGUAUUGUUUAUUUGUUUAUGUUUUUGAUGCAGCACACAGAGGAAAUAUCAAGCUUACAAAAAGGAAAAAAACUACUGGUGUUACAUCCAACCUGCCUUGCAUCGUUUUCUCACUCCUUGCCGUUCGGGUCUUCUGAACGAGACUCUGUCUGCUCACCCAACAUUCACUUCCCCCAAACCACAUCACCCCUACAGUUCCUUCAGAUACUGUAUAUUGUGUUUCUUUUUGAACCGUAUAUUAUCUUCAGGGAAGCGGGCUUCGAUCAGCUGAUCGCAGGUGUUGCUGCUCUUUGCUUCUGGUCGCUUGAUUGUUUCGCCUCUCGCGCCGGAUGCGGCCGCGUCGGAGGAAGCUGCCGCCGUCUCCGUUCCACCGGCUCCUUCACGUGUUUCCAUCCAACUCGGCAGCGUCGUGACGACGGGACCGAGCCGACGCAUCACCGGCGCACCGGGAG
ensembl:lncRNA